CCCUUCUCAGGAUUGCACCUGAAGAGUUUCUAUUACUCUACCAGUUUCGGCUAGGGGAGGGAGAGUCAAGCAGAGGAUACUCAUUCCAUUCCUAGCUUGGGCAGUGGCUAGCGAGUGGAAGGCAAUCUGCUACAAGU